CAUUGCUCUCUGAACUGUCUUCCCUCUUCCACUCUCACUUCACAAGCUUUGCACCGAACUAGAGUUUUCACAUGGUGCGGUGAGCGUGGACGUGUGAAUAUUGAGCUCCGAGAGGUUAUGUCCUUCGUGAUCUUUGUGACAGGUGACUCCUAGUGUGUAGGUUCGCUAACAGCAACCAUGACAUGUGAUGAUGAAGUGAUGAGUUAGAUCUAGAUCAAAAUCAAGGUUUUUCAGCGAACAAUUAUCAGAUCUUUGGUUGAUUGAUGAACUAUUUCUCAACGAUUCAAACACAUGCUUCUCGAUCCAACGUGACUCUUAUGCAAGAUCCAAUGAGUUCGUAUUUUUUGAAUUUAAGUGAGCAUCCAGGUAUUUCUUUAACAACUACUCCUCUGAACACUAAGAACUAUUAUGUUUGGGAGAGAUCGAUAUAGAUUUUUAUCAAAACAAAAAAACAAGAUUAUGUUUAUUGAUGGAACUCUGUGAAAAUCAUAUCAAACUGAUCCAACACUUUAGGCUUGGGAUUCUUUUCUAUUGUCUUGGCUUUAUGCCUCUAUGAGUGCUGAAAUAUUGCCCAGUGUCAUAUGGUGUAAUGAUACGUAUGAGCUUUGGGAGAAACUUAACCAUCGCUUUUAUCAGGGAGAUAUAUUUAGGAUUGCAGAAUUGCAUGAGGAUUUGUUCACUAUGAGACAAGGAAAGUUGUCAAUUACUGACUAUUUCACCAAAUUCAAAGGCAUUUCCGAAGAAUUGGAUGAGUUUAUGCCAAUUCCAAGUUGUACAUGUGUGAGUGUGGCUUUGGAAUGAUGAAGAAGUACAUUUGAAAGACAUGGAUUUUAAUUUCUAAGAGGACUUAGUCAUUAGUAUUCUGUUGUCCGGUCCCAGAUUAUGUUGAUAAAGUCUCUCUCUACCAUUAGCGCUGCUUACUCUUUGCUUCUACAACAAGAGCUGCAGUUUAUGAACACUGACAGUGAUCUUGGAGCUUUGAUUAAUGCUGCCAAAACUGGAACGCAGCAUCCAAGGGAAACAAGUUACAAUAUGGGGAGAGGAAGAACGCGUGGUGGAAGGUCAGAAAAAGGAUAUGGGGGCAGAGGACUUCCAAAAACUUGCUCACACUAUGACAAAUAUGGCCACACCAUAGAUACAUGCUAUCAAAGGCAUGGUUAUCCUCCGCACCUACAAAGAAAAUUUGAGGCAAAUAAUGCUAAUGUCAACAACAUUGUCACCAUCAAUUAAGUUGCUGAAGAGAAUGGUGAACUCAGCAAAGUUAUCAAGUCCAAUGGAGAGAGCGACAUCAGUAUUGGUGGAUUAUUUUCAGAUAGACAAAAAGAAGCAUUAAUAAUUUGACUCCAACCAUACUUGUACCUUUCACAGAUGGAGGUAAAAGUCAAAAUUUUAAAAAUACCAGAAAUCUUAAUAGGGGAUGGAAAACUCAUAAAAAGACCAGCUAGUGACUGUUUCUUCGGUUCCAUUUCAAGCAAAUUCUCCCCUUAAUUUGAACACAACACUGCCUCCAAUAACCUCAUAAUCAAGGUGACCCACAAGAAGAACCUGCAAAAGAAAAAUCCAUAAUAAUAUAAUCAAGUAGCUGCAGAUGAAGAUAGAGUUUGAAGGAGGAGAAGGAGGGGAAUAAUUAAGAUUAUACAA